ensembl:antisense Il1bos interleukin 1 beta, opposite strand
AGUCUAGAAGCAGAUUCUGGGCCAGGGUCCACAUUUCAAACUAUGCCUGGAGGGACUAACACCUUCCUCAGAGCCUGUGUGCAGGGCUGGAAGGUCUGAUGAUUUUAUGGGCUGUCCUGACAGAGAUUAUUGGAGACUCCUUUGGUCUGCUGAUUUAUAACACUCCUAAACCCUUGAGCUGAUGCCUGAGAGGAGUGGUUGUCUGGGAGGAUUUGGAGGAAGGCACAUGCAUGAAGACGAAUGGCCAUUUAAUCGUGAGUAAGAGAUGAAGAGAUGGGAGGAGGUUUGUCUGGGAGGAGGCAAUGAUCUGGUUGAUGAUUCUUUUGCUUCUAGAGGGAGAUUUUGGAACUACUGGGCAAUGCCUCUGGUACUCUAUUGUUCUAUCAAACCUCAUCCUGGCCCUGUGACUUGGGCUCCAAAUUUCCUCCCCUUGUCGUUAUAGAGCAGGCAAGUUGCACAACAUGUAUAUCAAACCCUGUCUCUCAGACCACACUUCCUUUUUGGUCCCCAAUGAGUAGAAGAAAUAACUCACUAUAGAAAUUGUUAUGCUGGGGGUGUGGCAUAGUGAUGACGAUACUGAUGAUGAUGUUGGCAAAGGAAAUGAACAAAGCAAAAGAGGAAGUCGGCAAAGCCAGGAUGGUGACGGGCACUCUAGCUUUUGGGGAACUUUUCAGCUCUUGACUCACUCAGCACUUUUAAGCUGUAAGGUUCCCUCUGUUCUGACAUCUCAUUCCUCCAAGAUGGAGGCAGGCAUUUCUUCAAAGCUGAAAGUGCCUUGCUACCUGUUUUACUUACUUUCUAUUGCUGUGAUAACCAUGACUACUGUGCAGCCCAGACUGGCUUCAAGUACAUGACAAUUCUCCUGCAUUUGUCUCCCAAGGACUGAGAUUACAGGCACGAGCUCCCAGGCCCAGUUGAUGUAUGUGUUCUACAUCUUCUUUACUUAUCCUCUUGCUCAGAACAGAGCUAAGCAAUGACUGUCCUCAUUACUUUCUCCAGACCUUGUCUUAUUCCUUAAGUUGACGACUUAGCACAGGCCUUAGGGGUCUGUUCUUUCCCUCUCAUCUUUUCUGUCCUGGUUAGUUUUAUGUCAACUAGACACAAGCUAGAAUCAUCAGAGAGAAGGGAGCCUUAACUGACAAAAUACAUCCAAAAGAUCUGUCUGUAGGCAAGCCUGUAGGAAAUUUUAUUAAUUGGUAUUUACUUGGGGAGAAAUCAGCCUGUUGUGGGUGGUGCCAUCCCUGGGCUGGUGGUCCUGGGUUCUAUAAGAAAGUAGGUUGACAAGCCAUGAGGAGCAAGCCAGUGAGCAGCAUCCCUCCAUGAUCGCUGCAUCAGCUCCUGGUUCCAGGUUCCUGCCUUGCUUGAGUUCCUGUCCUGACUUCCUUUGAUGAUAAACUGUGAUGUGGAAAUAUACUCAGUGCUGGUGAGCUGGAGCUGAGAAAUUAGCAGUGACUAAGAAAAGUCCAGCAUUAUUGAGGUGAAAUCUUCUGGGAAGUGUUUUCUGAGAGCACACAGAAGCUGUUUUCCAGAGAUGGCCAAAGUUGUAUUUCUCCACUGGCAGCCAAAUUUGGUCCUGUGGAAGAGCCACCCAGGUGACACUGGUUCAUGGAAGAGCAGCUGAGUCUUGGCACUGACAAUACAGCCUCAGUGGCAGCUGAAGGCCCAGGAUUGAAAGGGUCAUACAGAGAAGUUGAGGCUUGUCACCAUGAAGAGAGCCCAGGAGAGUACUGGUAUAAGUCCAGCCCAGUUGCAGCAGAAGACCCCAGCAUUUUGGAGAUGCAAGUACCAUGGGAUGACCAUCAAGAACAGCAGCAGCAGUGGAGUGGAGCCAGCCAAAUCCUAAAAGACAAGCUGUUUGUGCUACAAAGGGCUGAGCUGCAGAAGUAACUCAAGCCCCUUAGAGGAUCCCAGAAGAUCUUGAGUGCAUCUUUGACGUUGGAACAUGCACUAUUUACAUUUUUGGAGUUUGGUUUUGCUUUGCUUUGAUUGCGAUUUUGACCUAGUUCUUCUCUCUUGAAAUAUAAUUUAUUUUUGAUUUUACAGAAGUCCAAAGUUGAGAGACUGAAUUUUAAAAGAGAUUGAUUAUUUUAAAGAGAGAGAACUUUUAAUGUAUUUGAAUUUGUGAGGAUUGUGGGACCUUUAAGUUGUUAAUGUUUUAUAUUGUGAUAUAAAUAUUAACAUAACAUCUUGGGGAUAAAUGAGAAAAGAAAGGUUCUAAUUAAAAAGUGAUAAGUUGGGCCUUGAGCUCAGCAAUUUAGAGCACUGGCUGCUUAUCCAGAGGUCCUGAGUUCAAGUCCCAGCACCCACAUGGUGGCUAACAGUAUCUGUAACAGUAGUCCCAUGGGAUUUAAUAAACUCUUCUAGUGUGUAGGAGUACAUGCAGACAAAAACACCCAUAUACAUAAAAUAUAUAAAUAAAUAAAUC